AUAAACAAUAUUCUUUCACCAAUAUGUCAAGGUUUGAGAAGACUCAGGAAUUGUUCAAACAUCUUUUUCUUACAGAGAGACUGUCUCUUACUAAUGAAUCAAGCAGGAGAACUAUACCUGAUUCAAUUCAUUGAAAUGGGAUCAUUGGUUAGGAUGGUCACAUUUGAUAGUUUGGCUACAAUCCAAAAUAAUCUUAUAAAAAUAGCUGAUAAGAAUGCUUACCAAAAUAUCACUGCAAAUUUGCCUCAAGCAGCUGAUGGUGGAACUUCAGUUUGCAAAGGACUCAACCAGGCAAUUAUCCAAAGUAACCAGAGCACUUCUGGUUCUGAAAAUCAUAUUACUAACAGAUGGGGAAGAUAAUGAAAUAAGCUCAUGCUUUGAAGAGGUGAAGUAAAGUGGGACGAUCAUCCACACCAUUGCUCUGGUACCUUCUGCUGCCAAAGAACUGGAGACCCUGUCAAGAAUGACAGGAGGACUUCAGUUGCUUGCCCAUGAAAAAGACAUAAAUGGCCUUAUUGAUGUUUUUAGUAGAAUUUCAUCAAGAACUGGCAACAUCACUCAUCAGGCU